GACAAAGGCCCAGCCAGAGCCGAUCAAGGCGAUGGUGAUGAAGAGGAGAGCGCCCUUCAGCCUGGGGAGUGUGUGUGAGCACGGAGGUUCUUUCCGGCUGGCUUCUCAUUGCACCUGAUCAGCUCACAUGAGGAGCCUCAGAGGGGCCAAUGCACUUGCCCAAGAUCCCACGGAUGAGGGGCAGAGCUAGAAACUGAGGACAGGGGGCUUGGAAACUUGUGCUCUUCGCCCUGCUCCAGCAAACUCCUCAAAGCC